rnacentral:rRNA from 1 species
UACGGAGGAUGCGAGCGUUAUCCGGAUUUAUUGGGUUUAAAGGGUGCGUAGGCGGCCGAGUAAGUCAGCGGUGAAAUUUUGCAGCUUAACUGUAACAGUGCCGUUGAUACUGCAUGGCUAGGAUUUGGUUGCUGUGGGUGGAAUGUGUGGUGUAGCGGUGAAAUGCUUAGAUAUCACACAGAAUAUCGAUUGCGAAGGCAGCUCACAAAGCCAAGAUUGACGCUGAGGCACGAAAGCGUGGGGAGGCGAACGGGA